GUAGGUGGCAAGCGUUGUCCGGAAUUAUUGGGCGUAAAGCGCGCGCAGGCGGUUCUUUAAGUCUGAUGUGAAAGCCCACGGCUCAACCGUGGAGGGUCAUUGGAAACUGGAGAACUUGAGUACAGAAGAGGAAAGCGGAAUUCCACGUGUAGCGGUGAAAUGCGUAGAGAUGUGGAGGAACACCAGUGGCGAAGGCGGCUUUCUGGUCUGUAACUGACGCUGAGGCGCGAAAGCGUGGGGAGCAAACAGGGAUUAGAUACCCUGGUAGUCCACGCCGUAAACGAUGAGUGCUAAGUGUUAAGGGGUUUCCGCCCCCUUAGUGCUGCAGCUAACGCAUUAAGCACUCCGCCUGGGGAGUACGGCCGCAAGGCUG
rnacentral:rRNA from 1 species